rnacentral:tRNA from 1 species
GCCUGGGUGGCUCAGCCGGUUGAGCGUCUGACUUUGGCUCGGGUCAUGAUCUCAUGGUUCGUGAGUUCGAGCCCCGCAUCAGGCU